UCCUGAGUAGCUCAAUGGUAGAGCAACCGGCUGUUAACCGGUAGGUUCUCGGUUCGAGCCCGAGCUCAGGAGCCA
rnacentral:tRNA from 1 species